UAAAGAAAACAUAUCAAAUAUCACAUAUGAAAGACAUGGGGUGGUAAGACAUGGGGUUGUCCUUUGACCAAAGAAGGGAAUUAGGAUGUAUUGGAGCUAGUCAAAGCUUCUCUAUUUCCAUCCAUUUGAAAUAUGCAUAAACAUUAGACCAAGCAGGAAGCCUUCACAAGUGUGUAGCCCAAUAAUCCAAUACCACAUCCGGAACUGCAAACCUCCCCUAUGCUUAGGUGACAUGAGGACACUGUUAGGUAUCCUGCGUUUCUCACCCCAAAUGAAAUGGAAAAAGGAGGACUUUGAGGCACAGAAAUCUUUUAGUGGGACAGGUAACGUUUCAAACAGAUAUAAUUCCUUAGGUAGAAGAGUAAUUUUAAAUAAGGCUAUACGACCAAAUAACAAAAGCAGUAGGGUGGCCCAAUUUGUUAAUAAACGACAAAGUUCUCUAAAUAAAGGAGGGAAGUUAUGGGCAUAUACUGUAUUAUAAGAGGGAGUCAGAUAUAUCCCUAAAUAUUUUAUUUAUUAGUACACCAAUGGAAUUUGUAAUUCACUUGGAGGAGGGACUGAAGAAGGACUGAAGAGUA